rnacentral:lncRNA from 1 species
AAAAAUUUAAAAUUUUUUGGAGUCAAAUUAUAAUUCUUACAAAGAUUAGGGGUCAAAUCAAAGAAAAAUAAAGUUUAGGGAUCACAAUAUAAUUAAAUUAAGGACCUAAUUGAAAGAAAUCAAAAGUUUUGAGAGCCGCAAUGAAAUUACUAGAAAAAUUAAGGACUAAAUUGUAAAAAUUGUCUUCCUCGGGCCAUUUUUAUUUAUUUCUUGGGCCGAAAAAGAAAAAACCCAAAAAAGACAGACCAACCCACUAAUUUUAUUAAAUUAGGCCUGAUGAAAAGGGUUGGGUUUAAACUCCAAGACCUAGUCACAAACUCAAGUGAAAAAAAAAUAAGAAGCCCACUUCUUAGUCCAUAACACAUUUCAUUAAAUAUUUAUGGCCCAAAUCAAAUCAAAUCUAAUAAAAGAAAACAAGAAAAAUCAGAGGAAAAUAGAAAGAAAAAAAUCAAGAACAUUCCGACAGGUUUGAAUUUUUCGACGAGUCGACCUGCCGGAAAUUGAAAAAAUUCUUGUCAAAGUGGCGGUAUCUUGCCGGAACUCCAUUUUUCAAGCUUUUAAGCACGGAUCUUUACAUAUACACAAAACUCAUGUCAUUUUAGAUUCAAAUAAACAUCAAGCAAGGUUCAAAAACCACAUAAUCAUAGAAAAAUAUGAAUCAAAAUCUCUUGAACAUAAACUCUCAUAAACACACUAAAAUCUCUUGCAUGAAUGUCGAAUAAGGCAAGGGAAAGUCAUGGGAAUACCUAAGGAUGAUUUUGGAUGAGAUUAGAACAAGAAAACGCGAGGGGAAUGAGAUCUCUUAAAACUUUAAAAAAUUUCACAGCAAUAACGGUGAUGAAGAAUCCGCAAUUUGAGGGCUCGAUUCGAAGGGCUUCCGAAGGGCUUCCUAAUGUUUUUGGGAAAACUUUCUAAACGAAACCUUCUCUAAUGAUUCCCUAGAUUACCCCGAAACAAAAAUCUCUCUUAACGGAGUUGUAUCGAAGGAGAAAAUUGAGCUCCAAGGUGGCUAGUCGGCCAGCUUGCUUUUUCUGAAAAAAUUUCUGCUACCAAAAUUUUUUUUCCUUCUCUUGCCUUUUUCUCUCUUUUCUUUCU